AUGAUUAGGAAUGCCCAACACAACAAGCUUAUGGUUGGCUUAGCUGCGGAUCUUACUCCUGAUGGGGUUGUCGUCCUACAAUAUGCAGAUGACACAAUUUACUGCCUUGAACAUGAUAUUGACAAAGCAGUUAACCUGAAGUUGCUGAUGUACAUGUUUGAGAUGAUGUUUGGGUUAAAAGUUAAUUUUCAAAAGAGCGAGAUUCUUACUGUGGGUGGGGAUGAAGUUGUGAUAAAAGAAUAUGCUGACCUUUUCAGUUGUGACAUUGGUAGCUUCCCCAUUAAAUAUCUGGGUAUGCCUGUUAGCUAUACCAAUCUUAGAAACUCUGAUUGGAAGUUCAUUAUUUGCAAAUACCUUAAGAGAUUUGAAGCCUGGGUGGGCAAUUCUGCCUCCAUGGGAGGGAGACACACCUUAUUAGAUUCUGUUAUUACCCAGAUUUCUCUAUACCACAUGUCCAUGUGGCUGAUGAAUAAAUCUUUUAUUGAGAAACUGGACAAACAUAGAAGGAGGUUUUUUUGGCAAGGGUGUAACAAGAAAAAUAUAUAUUAUCUUGUCAAAUGGAGUAGAAUUUGUAGAUCCAAAGAGAAAGGGGGCCUUGGGAUUAAGGACCUACAUAAACAGAACAUCAGCCUGAUGGUUAAGUGGUGGUGGAAACUAGAAACGCAAAAUAGGGUGUGGCAAGAUAUUGUUCGCGCUCGUUACUUGCAGAAUAGAACGGUGGCUGAGUUGACCCUAGAUUCUUUGAUUCCCCCUGCUGGAAAGCUUUGUUGA
rnacentral:rRNA from 1 species